AUUGAACGCUGGCGGCAGGCCUAACACAUGCAAGUCGAGCGGAUGACGGGAGCUUGCUCCUUGAUUCAGCGGCGGACGGGUGAGUAAUGCCUAGGAAUCUGCCUGGUAGUGGGGGACAACGUUUCGAAAGGAACGCUAAUACCGCAUACGUACUACGGGAGAAAGCAGGGGAGCUUCGGGCCUUGCGCUAUCAGAUGAGCCUGGGUCGGAUUAGCUAGUGGGUGGGGGAAUGGCUCACCAAGGCGACGAUCCGUAACUGGGCUGAGAGGAUGAUCAGUCACACUGGAACUGAGACACGGUCCAGACUCCUACGGGGGGCAGCAGUGGGGAAUAUUGGACAAUGGGCGAAAGCCUGAUCCAGCCAUGCCGCGUGUGUGAAGAAGGUCUUCGGAUUGUAAAGCACUUUAAGUUGGGAGGAAGGGCAGUAAGCUAAUACCUUGCUGUUUUGACGUUACCGACAGAAUAAGCACCGGCUAACUCUGUGCCAGCAGCCGCGGUAACAC
rnacentral:rRNA from 1 species